rnacentral:lncRNA from 1 species
AUGCAUCCCACUUUUACAGCUUUGGCUGCACGAGGCUGGGGAACGCUUCCUCCUGCCUCCCUCCUCCCGUGCCCCAGCAGAUGUUUUGUUCUAUACAUAAAACUGUCAACAGUGGAGAGACUUAAAAGUGAGAUCCUCCCGGGCAGACCUGGGGGCUCAGUUGGUUGUGCCAGGAGGGUGGGAGCCUGGCAGGAAGCUUUGAGCACCUGCCUCAGGAAAGGUCUAAGAGAGGGAAGGGCUGUUUGCCCCAUUCAGGCACUUGGGAGCCCCUAUGGCUUCUCCAGUGAGAGCCAAAGGGGCUGGGCAGGUCCCCCUCAGCCGGCUGCGGCGCUCCUCGAUGGGCAGCCCGGGCAGGUGGCAGGAUGCGGAGGUGCAGCCCAAGGUCCUCCAGCAUCUUCCCGGGCGGCCCUGGGUCCAGCUGCGUCGGGCGAGCCCCACAGCCCGGCCUCUCCCGGGCUCCAGUCCGCGCCGUCGGGCUGCCCGGCCUUCUUCCGGGCCGGGUCAGAGCGCCGGGACGAACCUGUCGGGGCCACCGGGGUAGGCGCCGUGCCGCGGGCCGGGCUCGGCGGCGCCCAGCUGCCCUCCGGCGCCGUAGGCGUGCGGCAGCGGCGAGUAGUGCGCGGGGGAGCGGCGGCCGUAGAGCCCGGCGGGGGCGGGCGGCGAGGCGGGCAGCACGAUGCGCCCCGACGGCGCGUACAGCUGCCCGGGGCCACCCGGCGCGUAGGGCCCGGGGGCGGUGGGCAGCGGGGCGUAGGCGUGGGGCAGAGCGGUGGCCGCGCAGCCCUGCGCGGGGAAGGCGGCGGCGGUGGCGAAGGCGCAGGAGGCGGCGGCGGCGGCGGGGGCCGGGGGCAGGUCGGCGGCGGGUGGCGGGGCGGGCAGCGGGAACAGGCGGCAGGGCGCGGCGGGGCGCUCGGCGAGGAAGGCCGGGUAGGUGGAGAGGUCGCUGCGCUUGAAGCGCUUCCUGCGACGGAGGAAGGAGCCGCUCUCGAACAUGUCGCGGGCGUGGGGGUCCAGCAUCCAGUAGUUGCCCUUGCCGGGACGGCCGGGCUCCCGCGGCACCUUGACGAAGCAGUCGUUAAGGGACCUCCAGGUGCAUGA